UACCUGAUAGCUCAGUCGGUAGAGCAGGAGACUCUCGAUCUCAGGGUCAUGGGUUUGAGACUCACAUUGGGCAA